UCUAUUGAAUAAUAGGCUUGAUUAGAUCAAGCCCUAUUAUCAAAUAGCUUCUCUGAAUCCAUCAAGAAUCAAUCCUUGGAUCAAUGGGAUUUUCAUCUAACCAAUUGCAAUUCAAUUGGAGCUUAAUUAUAGGAUAAGGACCUAAUUAGUUAGUUUGUUAUAACUAAUUCCUAAAUUGGUUAAAAUUAGAUCUAAGAAUUAGUUAGAAUUUGAUCAAGAUCUUGAAUCAUAUUUGGGAAUAGGACUAAAUCCAAAAUAAAGCCACUCCAUGUGAUAAUUAAUUCUCCAUGCCCCAAUUUUUUCUGUGAGAAACCCCAUGCCCCAUGAUGAAGCACCACACCCCUCUCCUCUCUUCCUCUCAUGAAAAAGGAGGCACCCGAUCUCCUAUUUAUGGUCGCCCAAAAUAAGGAGGGGGGCAUCCAAGAGUUGGACGCCCCA
rnacentral:lncRNA from 1 species